rnacentral:piRNA from 1 species
ACACAGCAAGGACUUGUAAAGCACAGA